AUAAAUUUGUCAGAGGAAUGUAGUAGAUUUAGGAUCUGCUUAUGAGAAUUUAAAUUUCUCAAUUUAUA
rnacentral:tRNA from 1 species